AAAAUACUCCCUCCGUCCGAAAUACUUGUCAUCAAAAUGGAUAAAAAGAGAUGUAUCUAAAACUAAAAUACGUCUAGAUACAUUUCCUUUUAUCCAUUUUGAUGACAAGUAUUUCUGGACGGAGGGAGUAUAAG
rnacentral:pre_miRNA from 1 species